rnacentral:lncRNA from 1 species
UUCGGAGCACGAAAGAGGAGCACAACAGUUCACAUACUGUUUUUAAGGAUCCUACUAACCAUAACAUGGAACAACAAAUUUUACAAAGUACAGCUUCAUGGGCACCUGAAAGGAGGAAAAGCAGAAUUCAGCCAAUUGGGUAUAAAUGUGCUACCCAUUUCAUCAUCUAUAACGAGUUUGGAAAUUUUAUAUACCACUGCUGCAGCUUGAAACAAAUCUGGUCAUACAACACACAAAGAUUCAGAUGAAAAAAUACAUACUCAAGUAUGAAUAAUAGUUUAAAAAGAAACAUAGAUUUGCCACUGGAUAUACAGUUGAACAAAACCUGUCGCAGACAAAUUAUCCUCAUUUUAGUUCAUAUGAGAAAGUGGAGCAGUCUAAUUAAACAUGGCUUCUGCCAGGCUGCCACUGCCAAUAACAGUUAGCAGUUCAUAUCUGUUCCGAUGGUAAGUGGCGACAACGGCAGUAGUUGACCCGUCCAUGCAAUGUGUGUGUGCAAGUCAACUAGAAGGAAGCAACGUUUUCCAACAUAUUUUCCAGAGACAGUUUCACUUGGGGAGGAACGAGAAGAUGGCAUACCGCCUUCCAACUAAGCCAUUUACCCUCCUCUUUAGAAGGGUGACCCUUAAGAAACCUGUAAGCACUGCUGGUAGUAAUUUCUCCUCUAGGUCACGGUCCAUAUCCACCUAUUAUAGGGUAGCAAUUGAUAUCUGUUAAUGAAUUGCUAAAUGAAUCAUUUUGUGUGCAUCUAGAAGUACAUGAGAGCGAGAACUAUCUUCUAACUCAGGUUGGACAUUGCUCAUAAUGUUCAUAAUUAAAAGGUUUUGCUGAUUAUGCUUAAUAAGACCAAAGAAUUGCAGCAUAAAAAAUUGCUAAAAUCCUAUAAAUAAGGGACUCUACGUUCUCACUUAAAGAACUUGCUGCAAGACUAGUAAAAGCACAAUGCAGAAAUUUUCAGAAAGAUAUUGUCAAUCAUGUAUCAUGAAAUAGCAUGGAUGUCUUAGAAUAUUGUCAUGCUAAUUUUAAUGACAACCAGAGUAAAGUUACAGCAGUGCACUAAUAAUUCCAAGAACAGCACACAGUGGUGGUACCAAUUACCCAACCAAACUUCUAUGUUUUUUAAGUUAAAUCUCCUAGUUACUAUUUUAAAUUUUAUAUAAUUAUAUUCAAUACUUACUCCAUUCACCUCUCUUUGGCCAAAUCUCCCCUCGGUUAAAACAAAAAAAAAGAGGCCACAAGAUAAACUAAUAAUUACACUUGGAUCUACAAAUGAUAAUAGUUAGCCACCUUUCAUGUGCUUUUCACUGUUUGCACUGCAACUUCAUUCCUUUAAUCUUUUGUUAUGCUUAUUUCCAAUAACUCAAUAUGUUGCAGAAGGUGCCUUCUAUGUACUUUUCACUGUUUGCACCACAACUUUAUUUCUUUUAUCUUCUUUAUUCUUUCUUCAACUACUUGUUGCCAAAAAUCCUUAAUAUGUUACAGAAGGUGCUGGUGUCUUUUUCCUACUAUUUGUUCCUUCAUCUCUGAGAAAGAGAGCCAAAAAGCUAUAUUAACUUAUGUAGUAAUGUCUAGAACUAUAAAUCUCAUGCAAUUGCAACAGCUAAAUUAUGUUACCUGAACAACAAAGGGAUGUGCUUGGUCAUUAGAAAAUUAAGGCAGUGCGCAAGUAGAAUCUUGCCAGAACUUUCAUUAAGGUUUACCACAAUCCACUCCCCAUUGGCUCUAAAACACAUCAUAAUCAAUCAGUAAUUGUGUAUUGAUCCUACUGUGUAUCAAAACUUUACCUCAACCGCUAUAAAUGUUUGGCUAUUAACUACUAUAAACUGUAGUCUAUUAACCUCAAACAGCAUAAUGUUUAAUAAAGCUCAAAACAGUGUUUCUGUCCAAGAUUAUAGUAGUUUCGCAACUCUCUUAUAAGUUAUAAAAGUCCAUAAAUAGAAUUCCAUGUACCAAACAACAUCAUCCUUCAAGCUCUAAAAUGUUCUUUCCAUGCAAAUAAGAAGUAUUCCCUUUCUCUAUGAUUUAAGUAUAGUAUCAAACUAGAUAUAAGCAUAGUAUCAAACUAGAUACAAAACGAGCAACUCCUUACUUCAAAGAAGUCAGCUUAUUUGAUUGUGGAAUCUCUUUGUUGGCAAAUCAUGACAAUGGCAACAGUGAUAAAAAAAAAAUCUUAGCCUACAAACAAAUCUGCUCAAACAAAGCUGCAAGUAUCUUUAUCCAAGCAUAGGGCAUCACUGUCAGAAGUAUGCUAACUGAAAGGAGAAGAAUGAAAAGAACAGAAUGAGCUAGUCUUGAUAAAAAGCAAAUGUCUCACCAGAAGAUGAAAAAAAGGCAAUAAGAAACCAUAAGCUACUAUGUACUAAGUGUGAUAUCGCCAACUUCUUACUAAACGAACACAUCAAAUAAUAUAUAAGGGUUCAUUAUGAAAAAUCCGGACAUCAAAUGCAUCCCAAACAAAAGUUGAACUCAAAUGCAUUCUAUUAAAGCAAAAAUAUUGUUGUCUAUAUAAUAUAUAGCUUGCGGAAUACUCAUUAGGCAUCCUUCAACUCCUUUGUCGCCUUUUCUUCUUUAUCUUUUUGAUAACAUGCUUUAUGAAAGAUUUGUUAUCCCAACUGGACUUGACAAGCCUUUGGUACCGACGU